rnacentral:tRNA from 1 species
GCGUUGGUGGUUUCAUAGUAGAGUUCUUGCCUUCUGUGCAGGAGACCCGGGUUUGACUCCUGGCCAAUGCA